rnacentral:lncRNA from 1 species
ACGAAUUGAGAAAUAAAACCUAUUUUUUUGAAAAAAUAUCAAUGUCAAACCUAAAAAUUAAAGAAUUGAAUUAAUUCAAUUCAGCUUAAAUUUUCAAUAGUUAUACCUAUCCUUAUCUUGAACUACAGUAUUUGUUUUUUCAUUUAUGAUUUAAUUGCUACAAAUUGAGAAACCAAACCAAAAAUUUUGAAAAAAUAUCAACGCUGACCUAAAAACUAAAGAAUCGAAUUAA